rnacentral:rRNA from 1 species
UACGAAGGGGGCUAGCGUUGCUCGGAAUCACUGGGCGUAAAGCGCACGUAGGCGGGUUGUUAAGUCAGGGGUGAAAUCCUGGAGCUCAACUCCAGAACUGCCUUUGAUACUGGCGAUCUUGAGUCCGGGAGAGGUGAGUGGAACUCCGAGUGUAGAGGUGAAAUUCGUAGAUAUUCGGAAGAACACCAGUGGCGAAGGCGGCUCACUGGCCCGGUACUGACGCUGAUGUGCGAAAGCGUGGGGAGCAAACAGG